CUCAUUAAUAUCUGGGUUACUUUGCUCGUCUCUAUUUAAUAAAUAAUGAAAAAACAUGAGACCUACCACUAGAAAAGCUCUCAGUGGUUGCAUGUAAUUGACAGGAAGCUUACUGAUCCUAAACACACACAUUUAAUUAUUCUCUGUCAUCCUGUCUUGCCAAGUAAAAGAUCAGGAGAAGUGGAGGUCUUCUGUGUGAUCACAGAAGGCUCAGAAGAGAGAACGCAGCAGUCAGCUGGUGGCUCAGCGCUGUGACACCUAAAGGUUUGCUCAAGCACUGCGUGCCGCUGGCCUUGGGCCCGUUUAUGCCCCUCCUCACUAAGGCGGCUGAAGGCACGUGUGGAAGCCACCAGGUAGCAGCACUCCAUCCGCGCCCAACUGUGCGAAGCUUGCAGGUGCAAUGCGAGCACCGCACGGCCAUUGGCUACUGAGCUGCGCUGCGCGCGGUGAUUAGCAAGCUGAAGCGAGCAGUGGGACGGGCUGCCCUUCCCUUCGAGGCUGACCCUUCAGUCGAAGGAGGAAGCAGAAUUUCUGGCUGGCAGCGGCCCCGGGCUUCAGGUAGAGGAAGUUUCCUUGGUGCUAGUGUGGAAUUCUUCACUAAAGAGACAAAAUCUGCCAUGUUCUUCUCAUGAACACAGCAACUGCACAAGCUGCAGUUUGUUGGAACUGGGAAGUAAGCUGUCUGUAGAAGAAGUGAUGUGGAGUUUCUCAGCUGUUAAUGAUGGUGAAAAUACCCAAAGGAAAAAAAAAAAAAAAAAAAAAAGGUAGGAUUUCUCUUUUUGUUGUAUAAUUGCCAAUCAAGGAUAAAAUUUCCCCUUUUCUUUUUGAUAGAAAUAAAUAAUA
rnacentral:lncRNA from 1 species